UCAGACCAUGCCUUGACUUUAUUAUAAAAAGUGUGCAGUCAAAAUAUAAAAACCGUGCUUGUGCCUCAGUGUUAUGAUCCGCCUUCAAGACGGUAAUUACGGUAUAAUUAUGGCUUAAAACCCCGCAAAAAUGUAAAGGUGAUACUGCUAUUUCGGACUUGAAGCAUUGAAGAUGCUAGGGAUCACGUGAGAAAACCACACACGAAAAAUGUUCGCGUACGAUAAGAUACGGCAAAAAUGUAAAGGUAAUGUUGUGGACUUGAAGCAUUGAAGAUGCAAGGGAUCACCAGAUCUCCAGAUCCAGUGAGAAAACCACACACGAAAAAUUUUCGCAUAAGAGGCAAGUAAGGUUGUCUGAACAUAAUUAUUCUUCUAUUAAUGUAAAACUAUUAUCUGUGUUUUUAAAUUUUUACCAGUUUGAAUUUGGUUGAUUUCUAUUUUGAGAGAAGCAUGUUUUCCUGGAUUGAAGGAAAGCAACAAAAGUAAAAUUAAAGUAAUGUAUCAAUGCAAAUUGCUAUACCUAACUGUAUUUCUACACAAUAGAAUGGUCUAUUAAUGUAAAACGAUUAACUGUAUUUUGUUGUAACCAAUAUUAAAAUUUGUAAUUGCUUGUAAAAUUUUUGUUAAGAGCAUAUUGCGAAACACUUUAAUUGGGAUUAAAAAUUGUUAAUGGUGGAUCGAGAACAAAAUGAAAGGGCAAAAGCCACAGAGCGGGAACAUGUAAGGAAUAUAAAAUAAUUAGUGCAGUUUUUUAGAUAAAGGUUUGUGUUUUAUCUCACAGUCACACAUCAUUGCGACAACGGCAAAAAUGCUG